CAGCAUGCUGAUUAAGGUUGCUUGGUUUUUUACUAAACAUUAACUGAAUGAAAACGGGUAGUCCUUGUUCUGCUUGGGGGGCUUUAAGGAAGCAAAUGGACUUUCAGAACAGAGAUUGUCAAUAAAGUGCCUUUCUGCUGGGAUUUAACAACUGCUGUCCACUAUGGAGAAUGAAGAUUUUAUUCCUCUAUUGAGGAUAUUGAAGAGAAGGCUAGAGGAAAAAGAGAACUGCAUUUCUGAUUUUCCUCAACAGGAAUCAUCUUAGAGUUCAUUGAUGACUUCCUGUGGAUGAGAUGUUUAAUCUUGUCGUCAUAAUUAUGACACUUCACGGCAAUGACAAGAAUCUGCCCUGCCUAUCUCACCUGAUUUUCCUUAGGACCCAGUAUGAGGAUCUAUGAUGGAGACACUGAGGAUAAGCAAAGACAACAGAGUUGGUCAUUGUCACACAGUCAUGGAACUGGACAUGGAACUCAAGGAUCCUGAUUCCUAAACCGCAGGUCUCUAAAACACCAUGUCGCUGAAUUUGGGGACACUAAUUCAGGUUCAGAUUUUAAAUCCAGAAUCUGCGUUUCUUCUGAGUCUCAGGAUGUGGAACACAAAGAGCUCAGACACUGGACUAUAAGAAGUCUGGAUUCAAGCUUUGGUGAAGGCAUCCUGGAUAGUAUCUGUGCAUGUCAAGUCUCUGACCUGUGAUUUUCCCUUCUGUACUGCACUGGACACACCCACUUUAUAGGGUUGAAGAGAGAAUUCAUGGCAAUGUAUGGAGGUAUUUAGGAUAUUGAAGAGUUUACAGUAAACAGCAAUUGAUAAAGUAUUGGGGGGUGUGGUACACUUUCAUGUUAGAGCUCACAGUAUGGGUUUGUCUCUGUUCACAAUUGUUUUGUUAACCUGUGAGCCUGAUAUGUAAGAAUGAUGAUGAAAGCUAACAAGGCUGCACCUUGAAAGACAUAAGUCAUUUGGAAUGAUAAAUCAUUAGAUCAAUAGAAAGUUACCUGGCUCAAAAACCCUAUUCUGUUCAAAGUUAUAAAUCAUGAUUACUGUCUUCAGGAAACUUAGACCCUAAUAGGAAUCAUUGCUUUCACUAAUAACUGUGUCCAACCAAGUGAUGUCUUUAUAUAGUGACAGUGCUUUAUAUAGUGAAGCAAAUGAAAAAUAUUUUUGAGAUCAUAUGGGAGCCUUUUUUUAAGUUGACAGAUGAUAAUUUCACAUUUUAUGAGGUAGACUGUAAUAUUUUGAUACAUUUAUACUUUGUGUAUUGAUCAACUGGCAAUACUUAGGUUAGCUAGCUAUCAUUUUAAACACUAAGUCCUUUGUAAUGGGAACAUUCAAAAUCCUCUCCUCUAGCUAUUUUGAAUUAUGUGAUACAAUAUUGUAACAGAACACCAGAACUCACUUCUCCUGUGACUGUGUAGUCAUUAACCAGUUUCUCUCCAGCCACUCUCUCCCCUACACUUUCUGGCUUCUGGCAACCACUACUCGACUCUACUUCUAUGAGCCAAGUUUUCCAAGACUACACAUAACUUGUGCAAGAACUCUGCAUCUGUCCUCUAGACAGACGUCUUUAACAUCAUUUUGUCAAAGGGCAGGGGGACUGACCUCUGAUAAAUGUAUCUUUGGUGUCGAGCACAGAACUAGGCAAUUUGACUCUGCUGUUUUAGUUAAACCUAACACCAUCAGAUGACUUGUAAGAUGUUGAUUUUUAUGGUUGGAAAAAACUUGGUAAUCUCAGGAGAUGAAACAACUUUAUCUAAGAUCCCACACCCAAAAAGUGCUGGAAGUGGGAUUUCAGUCAUGAACAAUGGGAUGGUUAGAAAGUAGAUUUUGUUCUGCUUAAGAGAAAAAUCAUAAAAUGUUUUGAGUAUCUCAUUUUCUUCAGAAAUUUUUAUUUUCUCUCUCAGAUUUCUUCCUUCUUUGUUGGGCUUUCAAUUCAGUUCUAGACUGUGGAACCCUCUGUUCAAGGCCAUAGCUUUUCUCCCUAGGCACAGAGCCCGGAGGGAUUAUCUGACUAUUUUCUCUGCAUGAGUUUAGCAAGGAGUAGAGCUGAUAUUUGAGAUGGGCCAGUGUUUAGUACCAAAUAUAGCACAAUUUAUUUGACAUUAAUUUGAUGGCAAAAACAUGGUACAGAAUAUGCCACAUUUAAGAUAAUACAAUUCAUUUAUCCUUUUACAUGAUGAAUAUUAGUGAUCACUUUUUUCACCUCUUGAAUAGUCAUGAAACUUUAUAAAGUAGCUUUAGAUAGUCCAUGCAAUCAGUUGCAAGUAGCACAAAACCAAAUUAACAUGUUGUUAUGGCUGUGUCUAGACGUCCCCCAAAGCCUCAUGCAGUCAUAGAUGUGGCUUUUUCAGAGG